GACGUAGUGGGCCAGCGUUGUUCGGAAUUACUGGGUGUAAAGGGUUCGUAGGCGGUGCGGCAAGUUGGGAGUGAAAUCUCUGGGCUUAACCCAGAGGCUGCUUCCAAAACUGCUGUGCUUGAGUGUGGGAGAGGCGCGUGGAAUUGCAGGUGUAGCGGUGAAAUGCGUAGAUAUCAGGAGGAACACCGGUGGCGAAGGCGGGUAUAUGGGCCGACAUUGACGCUGAGGAGCGAAAGCGUGGGGAGCGAACAGG
rnacentral:rRNA from 1 species